AUUGAACGCUGGCGGCAUGCCUUACACAUGCAAGUCGAACGGCAGCACGGGAGCAAUCCUGGUGGCGAGUGGCGAACGGGUGAGUAAUAUAUCGGAACGUGCCCAGUAGUGGGGGAUAACUGCUCGAAAGAGCAGCUAAUACCGCAUACGACCUGAGGGUGAAAGGGGGGGAUCGCAAGACCUCUCGCUAUUGGAGCGGCCGAUAUCAGAUUAGCUAGUUGGUGGGGUAAAGGCCUACCAAGGCAACGAUCUGAAGUUGGUCUGAGAGGACCACCAGCCACACUGGGAUCGAGACACGGCCCAGAAUCCUACGGGAGGCAGCAGUGGGGAAUUUUGGACAAUGGGCGCCAGCAUGAUCCAGCAAUGCCGCGUGCAGGAAGAAGGCCUUCGGGUUGUAAACUGCUUUUGUCAGGGAAGAAAUCCUCUAGGUUAAUACCCUUGGGGGGAUGACGGUACCUGAAGAAUAAGCACCGGCUAACUACGUGCCAGCCGCCGCGGUAAUAC
rnacentral:rRNA from 1 species